ensembl:lncRNA
AACCCCCUUCCCCCCGGAAGUAACUAGUCACUUGUGGCCUUGUUGAAUUGAAUUGAAUUUUAUUUUUACGGUCCCACAUCAAAAAGUAUAAACAUUAAAACCUUACAAUCAGAGGGGUUUUUUUAAAAAAAAAAAGAAAAAAAGAAAGAAAAGAAAAUUAAAACCAGAAAUUCAGCACACUAAAAGCAGAAAGUCCAGGAUAUGCAACCAUUCUAUGUGGCUCCAAAUAUGACACUUAAUUGAAAUCUGUGGAUAUAGAUAUUAAAAUGAGUAGGUUAAAACAUUAUCCACUAAAAUAAUCUGCCAUGUGCCUCCUUAUUUUUACAGCUGCAGCACAAAAUAUGUGACUUUGUUAUUCUUGGUGGAUUUCUUCCAAGUUCUUGUUCUACGAUGGUCCACAGUGCAAAAGGGGCUUGGGCUCUGUCAUAGUGGAGUAUGCUUUGUAUCUUUAAAAUGCUAAUGAGUUAAGUAUAGGUUCAUUUUAGCAGUUAAGUCAGGCCACUGCUCGAGAUGAGCAGUGUGCCUAAUUUUAAGAAUUUGGCUAACAAGAAACAAGAAUUCAUACCUAAAUGCUUAAAAAAAACCCCUAAAGAAACAUUCUUCUACACAUAUAAAAGUGCAAUGCUAUUUUUGGAACUCUACAGAAAUUGGACAACAGCAGAAGAGAUGCAGGCCUUCAGCAGAUGGAGUAUGAUGACAGUUGGCAGGUGUGCAGUUUCAAGAAUACAACACUCACUAUCAAGGAGCUGCUCCUAUCGCCUCUGCUGUCAGAGACCUAUGGACCUGUGGCAUGAACUUCCACACACAGCUCACCUAUUCUGCCUUCUAUAAAGCAACCAGGGACCUCAACCACUUCCAUAAAUGACUAGUAGGCUUGUGCAUUUUGGAAGAACCUCAUGCUGUUUCUGCUUUAUGUAUUCCAGGUGGCCAGCUGAUCUGUUUUCAUUCUCCUUCUGAAAAUGGGUGUGUGCCCAAAUAGCUGUUUUUGGUCUGCAGCUGGAAAAUGCAGCUUGAUCCGGCCCCGAUUUUUAGGAUUUUUUUCUUUCUAGAAAUAAUAUCUACCUAAAACUAUUGCCAGAAAGGUAUCCCCCACUGGCCCUGUCCUGUAACUUCUCCAGGAGCACCAUUUCUUCCUGCCAAAUGUUAAAGAUGCACUUUCACAUCACACAGCCUACUAUUACACUUUCUUUAUUAAUAAAAAGCAACAGCAACUUCUUCCGAAACAUUUGCAGUUUGCAUUUCUUGUUCUCACAACAUACUGGAAAAGGUCAGCAGCCCACCAUCCGCAAGCAAGCAAGCAGCAUGUCCCCUUAUUAGAAAACACUCCUGUAUGAUCCAGAAAUUAUUAGGUAUUAGUGGUAAGUUUAGGUAGGUAGGUAGUUUUUCUGAGAAUGAGCCUUUGCUGUUUGCUGGAAUUCCUAUAAUUAUUAAUAACAAUAAUCUUUUAAAAGUAUUAUUUUGAUGAAAGAGAGGAGGGAGGAGAGAUAAGAGAAGAAGCUAAAGGCUUUAGUAGAGGCUAAGGGUGACUCAAAGCUCAGAGCAACCGUAAAAGAAAAGCACACCUACAAACACUGCACAAAACCCAGCCAACUACCCACCCACACUUCCCAACUCCCAGUCCCACUAAAUAAAGAAUCCAGAAAAUAAAGGAAAAUCAAAAGGAUUCAGUGCUAGAGAGAGGCCAAGUCAAGCCAAAAGCUAAAGCUGAGAGAAAGCAGCGGCAAGGCAUUCGGACUGAAACACCUCUCUCUAGACCAAGGACGCAACUGAGCAAUGGAGGUGCUUGUCCUACUAAAAACACAGCUUGUGUAAGACACAUCAUGGCUGUUUCUUCUAUUCUUAUUGGCCCAACAGGCAGGGCUCACAGGGAAACCUAUCAGCAUGUCACAUGAUCCCAAAUAGAGCAGAAGGAGUCAUGACUGGCAGCCACAUGAUCUGGCUAAGUCAAAAAAAAAAUGGUGGCAGAGCUCUUGCUGUUAUGGGCAUCUGAACAAGUUGAAGAAGCUGAAGGAAAACGAAUCUAUGUACAAAUCCAAUGAUUGGUCCUCAUAGAAAAUUCCUGCAACGGGUUGGUUGCACAGAAGUACUCCAUUUGUGGAAACCAGGGAAUGGAGGGGGAGGAUCUAAAGUACAAACCAAAGAUAUUUCUUUUCAUUCCUUCUCUUAACUGGAAAUCCUGCAGGGUGAUCUAAACAUUUACCACACCAUGGAGUUAUGGGGCCUUCAGGGCUGCAUUUUCCAGGGUCUACUAGUUACUGCCUACCUUGGCUACAAGGAUUUGGGACUUGUACUCUAAAAAUUAAGUCUGGAGGUGGCCAAAUGCUGGCCUUUUUAUAUUAAUCUGAUGUCUGUUUUCUUUUAAUAGCAGCAUUUUAACAAUGUAUUGCUAAUUUGUUUUGUAAAAUGUUCCAGAAUAACUUAUUAAUGAUUUUAAUUAUACCUAGUCAUUAUUUCAUAAAUAUUAAAACAAAGUAUGCAUAGAUUAUAUAUGAAUGCAUAAACUAAACAAGACCACAACUUGAAAUGGAUAAAUUCAGUGUUCUUUGGCUUUCACCCUUCCUCAAGGAAACAAAGCAAAUGUUAAUAUGGAAAAUUGUUAUUCAUUGACGUGGGAGCGGGGAAUGGAAAGCUAGGCUGAUUUCAUCAUAAUUGUUAGAGCAGACAAACAUCUCCCGACAUGCGUCCAAGUCCAAUUCUUCUAUUUUGGAAAAAUCAAGAAAACAACAUAAGGACUUUACAAUGCAUGACUGAACCUCAGCAGUGCCAACAAUACAAUUUCUUUUAUGUUUUGAAAAACAUGCCACCUUUACAAGUGGAAGGCAUCUUAUCCUUUUAAUUUUUUGUGUGUCAUAUACAUAAUAAUAUAGUGUGAGAGAGACAGGGGAGGGGGAGACGGAUGAUUUCUUUAGUUAAAUCUCUAUAGACUGAGCCAUGAACCAGGGGGAUUUGAGUCAAGAUGCGGAGCUCUAUCAGAUGUUUUUAGCCUUUCCAAACCACGUUGGGCCCCAUUGCUGCGAGAAAGAUGUCAUAUAAAAUAACUAAAUACCAAGGCAGAGACAUUUCCAGUUUUUAGAAAGGCCUCCUAAAUCAUCCUAAAACAACUGAGAGAGAUUGAUUGCCCCUCAUGGCCCCUAGCGGAUAUAAGGAGCCUUUGUAAACAAAUAGGAAAAAAUGGGGGGAGGAGGGGGUGACAGGAGAAGCAGGCAAUAUCACCCAUAAACCUCACUUUUCCCACAUCUGCUCUGCCAAACAUCCAUGGACAACCUGUGUAUAGUGUAAACACCCAUAUUUAUAUGCAAAUGAAAUCAUGGACUGAGGGCCGGGAUGACAUCUAUUGUCCCUCCUUCCACCCUCCACAUGUUCAUUGUCCUUUGAGUACUGGAGCCUAUUCAGAAACUCAUGGAUGGUGAUGGGACAAUGCAUAAAUUUUUACUACCUUUCUGAUUAAAAAAAAAAGUUUUUCCUCUCAAAUAUUAGAAUAGCUUCACUGCUUAAUGUUCUGCUUGGUGCACAAUAACUAUGUCCCACGAAGUCCUAUACGACUUUGUCCAAACUAUGUGAAAGAUUAUAUUUUCCCAUCUGACAUAUUCCUGUGUGGCAUGUGGGCAUUUUUCUGCUGUCAUCAUCAUUGGCUUCUUCACCUCUUCCUCCGUUUCUAUGACAAGGUGCCGGGACAGGGAAAGUAAGGUUCUUCUGCUACCCCAGCUACUUCCUACUACAAUGGGAGCGGUGGCUACUUCCUUGGAAUGUUCCACCCUGCACUAUUGCAUGGAAAUGAUACAGAAUUUAGGCAUUCAGAUAAAUUUAGUGACUAUAAAAAUCUGGGAGCAACAAAACAAAAUAAAAAAAUAGCAUCUGCUUAUAGUGUAUGCAACUGAAACUAUCUGAUUUGAAAGCAUUAUUAUAAUUGGUUUAUUAUGACAGCAUGGGCCAGAACACAUGAACAUUAUAAGGUUCAUAAAGUAAAUAAGCAUCAAGUUUUACCACUACAAGUAUAUUGCUACGGUACAUGAAAACUAGGCUGAC